UGGAGGAAAGUAGGGGAUCGUAAGACCUUGCGCUUUUGGAGUGGCCGAUGCCUGAUUAGCUAGUUGGUGGAGUAAAAGCCUACCAAGGCAACGAUCAGUAGUUGGUCUGAGAGGACGGCCAGCCACACUGGGACUGAGACACGGCCCAGACUCCUACGGGAGGCAGCAGUGGGGAAUUUUGGACAAUGGGCGCAAGCCUGAUCCAGCAAUGCCGCGUGAGUGAAGAAGGCCUUCGGGUUGUAAAGCUCUUUCAGUCGAGAAGAAAAGAUUGUGACGAAUAAUCACAAUUCAUGACGGUAUCGACAGAAGAAGCACCGGCUAACUACGUGCCAGCAGCCGCGGUAAUACGUAGGGUGCAAGCGUUAAUCGGAAUUACUGGGCGUAAAGGGUGCGCAGGCGGCUUUGUAAGUCAGAUGUGA
rnacentral:rRNA from 1 species